rnacentral:lncRNA from 1 species
CUGCAGAAUGACAGCGCCCUGCGGGAGCAUGCUGCCCGAGCCCGUGGAAGUAUCCCCCAAAUGAGGGGCUUAGGAGAGAUGGAAGUCAGGUCUCUCUCAAUUCCAGUCCAAGCUUUGUUGGAGGACGCCCCAAGAUGCCAGCAGGGGCCUGGGGUUCACCCCGUGGGGCUCUCCACUACACCCCGUUCCACUCAGGCCACUGGAAAUCAGAAAGGGGGAGACAAAGGGAAGCCCUUCCCUUGGAGGGCAGAACCAGGAAACCCUGCCUGUCCUCCUCCUGCUCCAGCCAGAACUUAGUCACAUGGCUGCACCCAAGGGCACUCUAGUUCUGCUCUCACCAGAACACCGGGUUUGUGUUUACUACAAAAAAAGCCGACAGUGGAUAUUGGGGAACAACUGUCACUGGCAUAGCUUUUAUAUUUGUAAUUUUCCUGAUUAUGAAAGCAAUACACUCAUUGCUAAGAAUCCAGAAAUGGGUGAAGGCAACAAAGAUCAUGAAUAAUUCCGGAACUAGCCAUUGUUUAAGAUUUAUGGGGUCAUGUCAUACACAUUACUUUGUAUCCUUACUUCUCACUUAACAAUAUAACCCUGGUAAUCUUCCCGGAUCAAUAAAUCUACGUCUACAUCACCAUCGUGGUUUUUUAGAGUAUGUUUAAACAAUGAUCUAUGAAGAACUGGGCGACAGAUGUGAUUUGUAUUUAUUUGAUUACUAAAGAGGGCGAACAUCUUUUCACAUGUAUUGGCCGUUUUCCUUUCUUUUGUGAAUCGCAGUUCACAAGCUUUGUGUAUAUUUUAAAGGACCCUUCACUUUUUUCCUAUGGACUCGAAAACAUAUCCACUUUAUAUAUUACGGAUAACACAUUAGCAGGCACUUACACAGUUUAUACGCACCAAGCACUGUUCUAAGGACUCGUAACUUUCACUCGUGGGACGCUUACAAUAGUUCCACAAGGCAAGGAUUGUCAUAAUCCCCGUUAUCGGAUAAGCGAUUGGCCCAGCGGGGAAGAGGCAGACCUGGGAUUCAAGUCCUCGCUCUUAACCACUAGACGCUCCAGCUAAUGUUUUGCCUGUUAGAGAUUUCACAAAAUUGUGUUUCCAACUUCCUAACUUUCCGGGCUUCACUUAUCCGGCCAACUCCAUCAGUCCUUCCCCUCGCGGCCUUCGGGGCAGAACGGGGCCCGGGCGGGGCGGGGCGGCGUCUCCCAGCCGCCCGGCAGGCCCACCGGCUCUCGGGCGGGACCGGGACGCGCGCCGUUUGGAGGGUCGCGGCGCCGCAGGGGCCGCGGGGGCAAGUCCCCUCCGUCGCGGCGGCCCGGCGCCCCUGAGCUCGGACACCCCGCGGCGACCCGGCCGCCCCGGCCCCGGGCCCCCGCGCCCCGUCUUCCCCCGGAACUCCGGGUCCCCGGCUCCUCGUCCCCGCGGCCCACAGAACGGCUCCCGGGCGCCGCCCCCGCCCAGAGGACGGCCCCGAGGCCCCGACCGCGCGCUCCCCGGGCGCAGGGCCGUCCUAGCGGGCGUGGGGAGCCACGCUUCAGGCGACUCGAAACCAGGAGGAUUGAGGACUGCUUCGAAAGGCGGCUGCAGACGAAAGCCUCCAAAGCCUCGGGCGGCCGGCCGCCACGGCGGCGUCAUCCGCAGGAGGGGAAACUGAGGCACAGCGGGCCGGCCUUUGUGGGCGCACCGAGGACACGCCCCCAAGCCGGAGCGCGGCACCCGCCGCCCCGCGCGCCCUCGGCGGCCACGUGACGACGCCCGUCCAUCACGCGCGGGAGGCGGGACGCUGCCCCGCCACUCUCGCAGCCGUCCAAUAGGAAGCGGGGAGCAGGCAGGGAGGCGGCCCCGCGAGCCCCUCCCACGUUGGCGCCCCGCGCGGGGCGGGCCCAGCCGCCGCCCUCCAGUGGGGUCCCGGAUCGCCUGGCUCUGCUGAGGCGAAAGGGCAAGGCGCUCGUCAGUCAGGCGGCGCGGCCAAUGGGCUCGCGCGUUGCCCUCGCGCCCGCCCCCGCCUCGGCCUCCCGGCGCCCGCGCCGCCUUCCCUCAGGCCGCCGCGGCCCGCCCGCCCGCGCCUCCAUCUGGGUCCUCGCGCGCGGCUCUCGGGCGGCGGCGGACGGCGGCGGCGGGCGCGAGGACCCCGCUGUCCCCGCGGAAGACGACGGCGGGCGGCAGCCUUCUCCGCGAGCCUGAGGAUGCCUGCCACAGCAUGGCUUGACAAGCGGUGCCAUGUCUGCACCCGGGAUCCGAACCGGUGAACCCCGGACCGCGAGAAGCCAAGCGUGCACACUUCACCGCCUCACCACCGGGCCCACGCCUCACUUAAUAUUUUUAAUAGUCUGAGAAGCUUUUAUUUAGACAGUGAAGGAUCUUCUCCAUCCCAGAGUAUUAAUUGCCAAUGCUUUUUCCACGUCUAGAUGAGAGUAGAAGAAUCUGGAUCCCCAGUAGUGAGUUGUCAGCAUUGCCUUCUGUGACGUCAGGAUUAGAGUAAAGGAGGCCUGGUCACUGUGUGUGCUUUGCCUGUGCAGGUGUUCUAAGCAUUGCACAAUCACUUGAGUGGACUUCAUGAAAUACCAGAUAAAAUUGAGUCGUUCUUUUUUGAUACUAAGUCUUUGGAAUCUAGAGUGUAUUUUAUGGUUCGAGCACACCUCACUUUGGGCUAGUUGCAUUUCCAGUGCUCAAUAGUGACGUGGUUAAUGGCUACCAAGUGGAUAGUGCAAUUGGAGUGAAUUGUCUAGCUGCUUUUCAAAAAUUAGAUUUCUCCAGCUGAGUAUUUGCAGUUUCACAUUAACAGCCACAAGUGUUCCCUGUCUGUCCAUAGCCUUCUCUCAAAUGUGAGGAAAUUGCAUCAGGUGAUUCCUCAGGCUGUUUCUGGAUCUAAGAUUUAGGUAUUCUGAGGCAACUGACAACUACACUUUUGUUAAGUAUUACUUUUUGCUUCUCUAGGACUAUUUUAAGAGAGUUUAGAUCAUCUGUUUUAAAAUGACAGUAACAAUACGAUUUGGAGGCAUUUUGUUGUUUGUUAAGUAGUUAUCCUUUGCUCUGUCAUGAAGUUACACUAUGUGUUCACUUGAGAAUCCCUUCUCUCCCCUAUUUUUAAUUUGGUUAAUUACAUGAUUGCCUACUGCAUAAGAGAGAACAUUUGUCUUAGUGAAUUCACUCUUAAUACAGUGUAGACUGAAUUUUCUGCUAGGGAUAUAGUUAAUUGUAGGAAACUGGAAUUUAGAUUAAAUAAAUAGAACCUACUUUUUCUUGGCUUUGGGGGAUGUGUAGAUUAUACAGUAGGUUUUCAACCUGAGAAAAUAUCAGUAUAAUGAAGAAUAGGGAGGCCGAGAAUUUUAAAGGAUUGAGAAGUAAUGGUGUAUAUCUAAUGACCAUUAAGCAGAACAGGUCACUGAAGUGGAAUACUCUGCCUUACCAUAAAUAUUUGUGUGCAUUAUGGGGUUUGUAGCAGAAUUUACUUUUCUUAGGUAUAUGGAGGGAGCACACAAUGCACCUGUAGCACAGAAGUUGGCCCCAGGUUAGCAGUUUACAUUGGAAGGUUUAGGAAGGAAUACUGGGCAUUGACUUGGCACUAGCUACCUUUUUAAAAAAAUCUCAGUUUAGAUAAUUUGAUCCAGUCGAGAGCGUGCUGCACACCUGCUGGGUGUCUUAAGAAUGAAUCAAUCACAGGAGUUGGUCGUUUGGAAAACAUCAUCUAGUACUUACCUGUGUUUUAGGGCAAUGUUGGUGGAAUAAGAAAUCAAGAUCUUACAUUUGAUUUAGGUUAACUUUCAUUAGUGAAAGUCUAAAAACUGGACCUUGUCAAUUUCACAUGUCAACUUACAUUGAUGGGGUGAUCCACUGCUAAAAAUAUUCCAUACGCUCUGUGAAAAGAAGCAAAAUACUGUUAGAGAGUUUGCUUAGUAGUGAUGUUUUAAUAUUCAGUCAGCAUCAUCAGAUAAAUAAUUUCAUUGAUGUUCAACUGAGUAUUUGAGAUUGAAGGACAUCUAUUAAGUGGCCAAUGUUCUAAUUUUGAUUUGUAUUUGUCAGCGAGUGAAACUGAAUGAUGAGACUGAAGAAAAUAUUUUAUUUGUAAGGAAGUUUGGCAAAAGUGAAAUUUAUACAACCAUAAGAUGGCAUAUGAAUAAAGGUGUUUAAAAAUAAAACUUGGCUGAGCUACUUUGUUUAUAGGAGUAUGUCAAUUAAUGUAAAAGGUAGGAAAUUUGACUUCUGGCAAAACAACGUUUUCGCUCAGAAGUGAAAAUCAGCCUCUUAAUAGGUAUUAAGUAUGUAAAAGAUAGAGUAUGCCUCCUUCUGGACUAAGUUAGUUUAGCAUAUUUUAAGAAUUUAGAAGCUAGUUUAAAAUACUAUCUUAGUAAAAUUGAUAAAUGCAAAGGUGAAAUUUAUAUAUUCUACUUCGUUAAUAUGUAGCCUUCACAGUGUAUAUUCAAAUGUGUUUUUAGGACUAUGACACUUAACCACCUUUUGGUCAUAGACUUCUUUGCAAGAGUGAUAAAAACUAUGGACUAGUGUAGAAAAAUUCUAUACACAAUUUCUGGGGCUUACUGAAGGCCAUUGUGGAUGCAGGUUAAGAACCCUGACUUUAAGGUGUUGACUAUACAAAUAUGUUAAACAUGAUAUGAUACACACUGUCAUUUUCUAAAAUAUAAGUGGAUUUUAGAAUGUGAGUGUUAGUUAUGGACCCUUGAUAUAAACACAAAUUUAGACAAACAACCUCAUUCAUAAUUAAUAAGUAGAUUUGCCUCUUUAUAGCACAUUUUAAAUUGGCAUAACAUUAUUUUAAAUUGAAGAUAAAUGUUUUUGACUGUCACAAGUUUAUCUGGGAAAGUAAGACUACUGUUUUAGUUUCUCAGAUUGAUUUGUUAAGAUGAAUAGUUCUGUUUGUUAAGUAUUUCUGGAUCAUUAAGAUAUUUUGUAUGUGUUUCUAGUCCUCCGAUCAGCCCCAGGAGGUAUGGAUGUUACCUUUCCCCGAUUGGAGAUGAGAGAACCAAACCUUGGAGUUUAUGUAACUUGCCCAAGAUCACAGCCACUAAGUAGCUGCUUGACCCCAAAGCCAUUGCCUAUACUGGUGUGUUGACCUGAAAUCAGUUUCUUAGAGUAUAUUUUGUUCAAGUUGAAUUAUGACUUUUAAUCACCAUAGUUUUUAAUGGUGAGGAGAGUAGUUCUAGCUUCAGAUUGAGUUAGUAUGUGAAUAAAGAUAGAAAGUAGAUGUAAAAGUAUGUUAUUUUUUUAAGAAGAAUUAUCUGAAAGAACAAAUUCAGGUAGUUUUAACUAACAGCAUCUUGUUUAAGAUGCUGUUAAAAAUGUAAUAUUGCCCGUUGCAGCUCAAGAUACUGAGCAUCCACAUCUACUAUGUACUUGACUCUUUUUUAUUGUAUCGAAUCCCUCUUAAUAGCUCUAAGAUUUGUCUGAUUUUUGUAAACUAAAAUAACAAAGGCUCAGAGAUUACAUGGUAUGUCUAAAGAUGUGGUAAAUUCAGAGCCAGGAUUCAAACCAGGUGUCUGAUUCUGAAGUACGGUUUAACUGUAGAGGGAAAAAUCUCAAGAACUGAAAAUACGCUGACUAGUUAAUCCUACUCCUCUCUUUUUCCCAGUAGUCAAGCAUCUUAUAGUUGUGAUCAGAGAACAGGUGAGGGUUUUUACAGUCUUAUUUCUUAAUGAACAUUUCCAUGGGUCCUCAUAAUCUGUAAGUUCUAGUAUAUGGAUUGUGUUCUCUGUUUCUGAAAGCUUGCUUAAUUAAACAUUGCUUCUCAGCUGUUAGAUUUUAGUAUCUAAAAAUUUGUUGUAAUCAGUACUUCCUUAAAAACUGCAGGCUGAGAACCAUCAGUGGAUGGUAAAAUCAAUUUGUUAUGUAUAAGAAAAUAGAAAAUACAAGAGAGAGUAAGGGAUAGUGUUGAUUUGUGAACAAUAUAAGGAUUAUAUUAAUAUUACUUGUUUAUAGACAUGUAUAAGUACUGUUUAGAAAUAUAAAAUACUUUUCUUGGUGUGGAUCAUGGAAAGGUAGAAACUGCUGCUCUAAGAAUAGCGAUGCUACAUAGUAGAUAUCUGGUCUUGCUCCUCACCCAUAAACAUCCAACUUUUAGAUUACAUUUGUGUAUGUAUCCCCCAAAACUGAGCGUUUUAGUAGUCUUAGGUAUGUAAGUUGCCAGAUUGCUUUUCUACCAAUAUGGUACCUUUUUACAUGGCUGGAUCAAGAAAACUAGUACAAAGUAAGCAUGCCACACUCACCAAGAUUGAAUAAUGAAUACAUUUGGACUCGACGUUUAUUUCAUUUUCUAUUACUCUGAUAAAGAUUCAGACACGUUUUAAUUGAGAAAAUUGGUCCGGAGUUGAGGGUUGGGGUAGAAGUGCCGGCGUUCCACUGUACCAGCGGUUUCACUGUUGGCUGUUAUUCUUCUAAAAAUAAGAACUGUCCUGGUUCUAGGGUAAGAUUUUAGUUUGUAAAGGCUUGACUUUUUAGGGACAGUUGUCUGCAUCUUCAUACCUUGAAUCGUCCAGCCUUGCAGAAUUGAAAGGGCCUCAGGUAUAGUAAGUUUGGAGAUUCAGUGCUAUCUCCUGUAAUUUGGGGCAAGUUAGUAAAAUUUUUAGCACCAGUUUCACCUUGUAACAUAGAGAUGAUGAGACUAUCAAAUAACGUGGCACCCAUGAAGGGCUUGACAUGGGGCCUUAUGUAUGUUGGAUGUGUGGUAAACCUUAUUCUUACAGAUCAUUUAGUCCAAUGUGAUGAUGUUACAGCUGGGAAAGCUGAGGGGCUAGAAGAUCUCAGUUGCUUACACCAGGUUUCAGUGGCAGUGAGUGAGCAGGGCCAGGAUUUGAACCUUGGUUUUUUUUUUCACUCUAAAUGAGUAAUGCUGCUAUGAACAUUCACGUACAAGUUUUUCUGUUUAAUUCUCUUGGGAAUAUACCUAUGAGUAGAAUUACUGAGUCAUGUGAUAACUAUUUAACUUAUCAAUGAACUGCUAAAUUUUUCCAAAGCACCUGCAUCAUUUUACAUGCCCACCAACAGUAUAUGAGGGUUCUGAUUUCUCCACAUCCUUGCCACCACUUACUUGUCUUUUUGAUCUGUCUUUUUGAUUAUAGCCAGCCCAGUGGGUCUGGUUUUCCGUAAUAACUGAUAAAUGAUGUUGAGCAUCUUUGUAUAUACUUAUUGGCCAUUUGUGCUUAUGAACCAUAUUUUUGGAGAAAUGUCCAUUCAAAUCUUUUGCCCUUUUAAAAAAUAGGUUGUCUUAAGUUACUUUUACAUAUGGUGUGAGUUGUAUGAGUUCUUUAUAUAUUUUGGAUAUGAAUUCCUUGUUGGAUAUAUGAUUUGCAAAUAUUUUCUCCCAGUUGGUGGGUUUUCUUUUUGCUUUGUUUCUGGUUCCCUUAGCCUUUCAGAAGCUCUUUAGUCUGAUGUAGUCCCAUUUGUUUUUUCUUUUGUUUCCCAUGCCUGAAUAGACGUGGUAUUCGAAAAGAUGCUGCUAAGAUUGAUGUCAGAGUGUACUGCCCAUAUUUUCUUCUAGGACUUUUAUGGUUUCAGGUCUCAUAUUCAAGGAUUUAAUUCAUUUUGAGUUAAUUUUUGUGUGUGGUGUAAGAUAGUGGCGUACUUUCAUUCUUUUGUAUGUGGCUGUCCAGUUUUCCCAACACCAUUUAUUGAAGAGACAUUCCUUUCUCCAUUGUAUGUUCUUAGCUCGUUUGUCGAAGACUAGCUGUCCACAGAUGUGCUGUUUUAUUUCUGGGCCCUCAAGUCUGUUCCAUUGGUCUGUGUGUCUGCUUUUGUGCCAGUACUGUACUGUUUUGAAUACUAUGGCUUUGUAAUAUAUUUUGAAGUCAGGGAUUGUGGUGCCUCCAGCUUUCUUUUUUCUCAGAAUUGCUUUGGCUAAUUGGGGUAUUUUGUUCCAUAUAGAUUUUAGGAUUCUCUGUUCUAUUUCUGUAAAGAAUAUCAUUGGGAUUCUGAUUGGGAUCGCACCGAAUCUGUAGAUUGCUUUGGAGAAUAUGGACAUUUAAACUGUGUUUAUUCUUCCAAUCCAUUCUCAUGGAAUAUCUUUCCAUUUCUUUAUGUCAUCUUCAGUUUCUUUGAAUAAUGUCUUACAAUUUUCAGUGUAUAGGUCUUUCAUCUCCUUGGUUAAAUUAUUCCUAGAUAUUUUAUUCUUUUCAUUGCAAUCUAAGUGAGAUUGUAUUCUUGACUUCUCAUUCUGCUGGUUCAUUAUUAGCAUAUAAAAAUGCAACUGAUUUUUCUAAGUCGAUUUUGUACUCUGCAACUUUGCUGUAGUUGUUGAUUAUUUCUAAUAGUUUUCUGGUGGAUUUUUCAGGGUUUUCUGUAUGUAGGAUCAUGUCAUCUGCAACAGUGAAAAUUUCUCUUCUUCCUUUCCAGUUUGGAUACCUUUUAUUUCUUUUUCUUGCCUAAUUGCUCUGGCCAAAACCUCCAGUACUAUGUUGAAUAGGAGUAGAGAGAGUGGGCACCCUUGUAUUGUUCCUGUUCUCAGAGGGAUGGCUUUCAGUUUUUCACCAGUGAGUGUGAUGUUGGCUGUGGGUUUGUCAUAUACGGCCUUUAUGAUGUUGAGGUACUUUCCUUCUAUACCCAUUUUAUUGAGAGUUUUUUUGUUUUUAUCAUAAAUGGGUGUUGGAUCUUGUCAAAUGUUAUCUCUGCAUCUAUUGAGAUGAUCAUGUAGUUUUUAUUCCUCAUUUUGUUAAUGUGGUGUAUCAAAUUGAUUGACUUGUGGAUGUUGAACCAUCCUUGUGUCCCUGGUAUAAAUCCCACUUGAUCAUGAUGUAUGAUCCUUUUAAUGUAUUGCUGUAUUUGGUUUGCCAAUAUUUUGUUGAGGAUUUUUGCAUCUAUGUUCAUCGGUGAUAGUGACCUGUAGCUCUCCUUCUUUGUGCUUUCCUUGUCUGGUUUUGGUAUCAGGAUAAUGUUGGUCUCAUAGAAUGAGUUAGAAAAUGUUCCAUCUUCUUCCAUUUUUUUGAAUAGUUUGAUAAGGAUAAGUAUUAAAUCUUUUUUGAAUGUUUGGUAGAGUUCUCCAGAGAAGCCAUCUGGUCCUGGACUUUUUUUGGGGAGGUUUUUGAUUACUGUUUCAAUGUCUUUACUUGUGAUUGGUGUAUUCAGAUUCUCUAUAUCUUCUUGAUUCAGUUUUGGGAGGUUGUUGAAUUUAUCUGUUUCUUCUAGGUUAUCCAAUUUGUGGACAUACAGUUUUUCAUAGUAUUCUUUUAGAAAUCUAUGUAUUUCUGUAUUUUCCAUUUUAAUUUCUCCUCUUUCAUUUCUAAUUUUAUUUAUUUGAGACUUUUCUGGUUUUUUCUUAGUCUGGCUAAGGGCUUGUCAAUUUUGUUUAUCUUCUCAAAGAACUAGCUCUUAGUUACAUUGACUCUUUCUACUGGUUUUUGUUUUUUGUCUCAAUUUCAUUUAUUUCUGCUCUAAUUUUUAUUAUUUACCCCCUUCUGCUGACUUUGGGCUUUUUUUUUUUUUUUUUUUUGAGCAAGAUUAGCCCUGAGCUAACUACUGCCAAUCCUCUUUUUGCUGAGGAAGACUGGCCCUGAGCUAACAUCCA